ACGCUCGACACCUACGGGAGUCAGCAGUGGGGAAUAUUGCACAAUGGGGGAAACCCUGAUGCAGCGACGCCGCGUGGAGGAAGAAGGUCUUCGGAUUGUAAACUCCUGUUGUUGGGGAAAAAGAGGAUGGUACCCAACAAGGAAGUGACGGCUAACUACGUGCCAACAGCCGCCGGUAAUCUGAGCGGGCUGGCAAGGC
rnacentral:rRNA from 1 species